rnacentral:pre_miRNA from 1 species
AGAAACCGUCGCCCCCGCGAAGGCGGGGGCCGCUAUCGGCCUUGUGCAACAUAUCCAGCGGCCCCCGCCUUCGCGGGGGCGACGGUCAGG